rnacentral:lncRNA from 1 species
UUGGGGCAAUGACGCAGCUAAUGAGGUUCUAACCGAGGCGCGUCUAUUGCUGGUUGAAAACUAUUUCCAAACCCCCUCUUAGGCCUGGGUUCAGCCUUGGCCUUCGAGAAUUUCUGGAAGGGCUCCCUUUGGGGUAAAGCUCUACAAUUUAGUUUAAAUAUUUUAUUGUUUCCCGUGCUCAUUAUUUAAUAAUGCAUGGGUCAAACAUAGUUUACGAACCAUCUUGGGAAUAAAAUACCGGGUGAUAAAAUUUAUAUUUUCCUCAGUAAAAAUAAACUGUCAGCUCUCCUUGUUCUUGAUAACUGCGUUAUUCUUUAUAACUGCGUUUUCCAUGAAGUGUAUAUACCAUUUUUGGUAUUUUUAUUAAGAUUAACAUGCUUAACUCUACGAAAUUUUAGAAGUUAUUUUUUCCCGUGUAAAAAAGAAAAAUGAUUAUUUGUUAGAAAAGAAAAACUAAUACCGGAUAAAAAUGAAAAUUAAAGCAAAAUAAAGUGAUUGUAAUUGGAUAAGGAUUUGUUUCAAACCUAUUAUGUUAUGUCAUCUUAUAUAAAAAAUUUAAAUAUUCAUGAUUUUAUUAAUUUUUGCUUCAUUGUGAUUGGUUAGGGACAUGUUUGGAGACAACACGUGAUUGGUUAGGGAUAUGUUUGGGGACAACACAUAAAGAAGUGAAGGUAAGAAAUGCUUAAAAGAGUUGAUAAACUUGUGUGUUUUUAUAAAUAAUAAUUUAUUUAUUUUUUAGAAUGAUAAUUUAGAACAAAAUAAAUUUGUAAUAACACUUACAUAGAAUCAACAGUAUGUAAAUGUGAGUGAAAGAAGGGGGAGGGAGAGGCAUAUUAUAAUAAGAAUUUUAUUAAAUGUUGUUUCUCAACUUGAUUCGUAGUAACCCGAUGCAGCGUCAUUUCCAAAUUUCUACCAAAAUAUGAUUUUUCUUUAUAAUACCAAUAUUGAAAACGACCUAAACAUAAUUUUAUGAGAGUGAGAAGUCCAAUUUUGACAUUGUCAAUCACGGUCUACUAAUAAAUUUAAUCGCUGAGUGUUGGUCUACGUGAAAUGGAAGUCGUCAUAAUAAUGGAAUGAAAGAAUAGAAUACGUUCAAACACAACUAAGAUGAUAAAGUAAUGCUAGGAGCUAGAACCAAAAUUUGCUACUGUUACAUGAAAUCAUGUGUAUAUUAUUGAAUGGUGCAUAGCAUCUAAACCGUGAUUGGUGGAGUUAUGCAGAUUGCAAUUGCUCAGUUCACCAACCCAAUUAUAAAUUUAAUUGGUAGUCGUGUAUUUAAAGGGAAUUCCUCAUUCUGCUAUGGCAAUUUGUCAUGAGCAAAAAAUCAACAUAUAUAGUUAUGAUCAGAGUAACCUUAUUUGUACAAAGAAUUAUUAUAACCAACCCUGCUAUUUUACUGAAAGUAAAGUUGUUUGGAAAGAUGUCAACAAUACAUACUUAUAAGACGUAUUACACUGAGGAUAUGCCCUGAGAACUUCAUUAUUACACUUCAAGGGUAAAGAUUUAUACAACCACUUCAUCAUCCGCCAUUUAAUUGAACUAAGAGUCAAUGAUGAUUAAAUAUAAAUGAUGGAUGAUGUAGUAACAAUAUAUAAAUCUCAUACACGAUCAAUGUAUACAUUUUUUUCUCUUAAUAAUUUCCGGCAGACUUAAUCAUACACUAAUGACAAUGGUUAACAUUUGCAAUUUUUUUAUAAAUCAAGUGAUACAAAACCAGUGCAACUAAACACCAAAUUAUGAAAAGUUUUAGUUGUAAUAUAAGACAACUAAUGUAUCAUGAAACAUAUUAUUCAGACCCCUUAAUGAAUUGUUAUUUAAACAAGAGAAUAUAAAUCAAUAAGCAGGCUUGGUUAUAUUUUGUCUCACAUGUCCAAGCCAAAGAAUUAUCUUUUGCAAGUGAACCAUGCCUAGAACGUGGCACUGCAAAUGAAUCAAAGCUCAUUUAAGUGGUUUCUGCCUCAACCAAAAAAUGCUUCUCCAAGAUGGCAACUGUUUCUUCCUUUGCACUGCAAACACACAACAGAUGAAGAAGAACACAAUCAAUAUAACACUGUAACACAACUAUGAUAUCAUAUGACGUAAAUGGUUUAUGGCAUCGGUAUCUAACAUAGCACGGUCCAUGUUUUAAACAAUGCAGCAGAAAACAAUUUAGCUAAGCUACCUUCCAGGUCUAAGUAUCUUGUAUUGGUUGGGUGUAGUGAGGUCCACAACUGUUGAACCUGCAGGACCUGAUGGAAGAACACCACCAUCAUAAACAAAAGCACAAUGUUCCCAUAGGUUCUCAAAAUCUUUUAUGCUAACACUACUUGACUGUCCACUUAGGUUUGCACUGGUAAGUGCUAAGGCGGUUCCGGAACCUCGGGCAAUGACUCUGAUGAAAUUGCAAUCAGGCACUCUUACUCCUAUGCUAUCAAAUCCAGGAUUCAAUGACCGCUCAAGAACACUCGACUCUCCUGUAAAAUAUCCAAGUAUACUAUCAGACAGUAUAUAAGAUCUUUACAAUAAAAUCUGAGGUUAACAGAAGAUAUUUGAACAAUGGCAUUGAAGAUAUAGGAUUAAAUUGUUGCUUCAAACAACUUUGGUGAACGAAUUGACUUUAACAUAUGUAGUAUUCAAUUCUGCAAUCUGCAUAGUUUACUUCCAUAAUUUUCAUUUUCCAAUAUAUGUUUUUCGCCAUGACAUAUAACAUAUGAAUAUGACUUACAAACCUCGUCUGAGUACAACUGUAACAGGCCCUGGUAGGAGGGAAUCAAGUAGACCAUGGGGCAAAUGGUCAAUGACAGCAUAACGGUCCAUAUCAGAUACAU